UACGAAGGGGGCUAGCGUUGCUCGGAAUCACUGGGCGUAAAGGGUGCGUAGGCGGGUCUUUAAGUCAGGGGUGAAAUCCUGGAGCUCAACUCCAGAACUGCCUUUGAUACUGAGAGGCUUGAGUCCGGGAGAGGUGAGUGGAACUGCGAGUGUAGAGGUGAAAUUCGUAGAUAUUCGCAAGAACACCAGUGGCGAAGGCGGCUCACUGGCCCGGUACUGACGCUGAGGUGCGAAAGCGUGGGGAGCAAACAGG
rnacentral:rRNA from 1 species